CAGCAAUGUGUUGGGCUGUUGAAUAAAAUUGAGAGCCAACCGAGCCCUCAAUGGCCCUUGCCACAGAUCAGACGAGUGAAACCCCAGUCCACCAUGAUCCGUGGGUUUGCACAGCUCACUUCGUGCCACAGUGGAUCCCUCCGCAUCCAACAAUCAAAGUCGAUAAAUUCAAUGGGUUUGCACAGCUCACUCCAUUUAUUAGGUAAAAUUUUGAUGCGGGCUUAUGCCCGUUGCCUUGAUGAUUCAUGAUAACUCGUCGGAUUGCGCGGCCCUUAUGCCGGUGUUGCAUCAUUCAAAUAUCUACCCUAUCAACUUUCGAUGGUAGGAUAGGGGCCGACCAUGGUGGUGAUGGGUGACGAAGAAUUAGGGUUCAUUUCUGAAGAGGGAGCCUGAGAGAUGGCUACCACAUCCAAGGAAGAUAGCAGGCGCGGAAAUUACUCAAUCCUGACACGGGGAUGUAGUGACAAUAAAUAGGAAUACCGGGCUCUUCGAGUCUGGUAAUUGAAAUGAGUACAAUCUAAAUCCCUUAACGAGGAUCCAUUGGAGGGCAAGUCUGGUGCUAGCAGUCCCGGUAAUUCUAUAUCCAAUAGCGUAUAUUUAAGUUGUUGUAGUUAAAAAGCUCGUAGUUGGACCUUGGGUUGGGUCUGUCAGUCCACCUCACGGUGUGCACCAUCUGCCUUGUCCCUUUUAUCGGUGAUGCGUUCCUAGACUUAACUGGCCGGUCAUACCUCCGGCGCCGUUACUUUGAAGAAAUUAGAGUGCUCAAAGUAAGCCCACGCUCUGGAUACAUUAGCAUGGGAUAAAACCACAAGAUUUUGGUCCUACUAUGUUGGCCUUUAGGAUCAGAGUAAUGAUUAAGAGGGAUGGUUGGGGGCAUUCGUAUUUCAUAGUCAGAGGUGAAAUUCUUGGAUUUAUGAAAGAUGAACCAUUGCGAAAGAAUUUUCCGUGGAUGUUUUCAUUAAUCAAGAACAAAGGUUUGGGGCUCGAAAAUGAUCAUAUAGCAUCCUAGUCUCAACCAUAAAUGAUGCCGUGCAGGGAUCGGCGGAUGUUGCUUUUUGGACUCCACCGGCACCUUGUGAGAAAUCAAAGUUUUUGGGUUUCUUGAAAGUUGCAUUUGCAUUGAUUAAGUAAAGUAAAAAAGGUACAUCACAUGUAUGGAAAUACUAACUGUCUUCCCUGGACAAAAAACAAAAGUGGGAAGAUCUAAUGCUAUGAAAAAGACUAUACAAGUAUGAAAAAACCAAACAAAAGAAACAAGAACAAGGAGAAGCCCCUUUGACUCACAAGGAGGCCCACCCCAAUAACAUGCCCAAGAAGUCCCAGUAAUGCUCAAUGAACAACUCCAGUGGGGGGAGAUACCAUAAAAGGGAGUAAACAAAGCCCGAAGGCUAAAGGUAUCCCAUUGCUCUGGCAGCCAUAUGUGUUGAGUCUAGUAAUUAGGUUGUUAAGCCUAAGUUAAUGUCCCAAAGGCUACCAAGAGGGGGAGGGGGGGGGUGAAUUGGUAGUUUAAAAAAUUUUAAGCCCUCUUUUAAAAUUUUGUUGAACCGAAAUAAAAAUUAUUUCUUUUAAGUUUUGUAGAAAAAGUUUUUCAACCACAGAGUUUUUAAGACUAAGAAUUAAAAUGCGAAAACGUAAAAACAGUAAAGUAAAUGACACCAGAUUUAUAGUGGUUCGGUCUAAAACCAGACCUACAUCCACUCCCCAGAGGCACCCUCUGAGUAUUUCACUAAUAUCAAUAGUGAC
rnacentral:rRNA from 1 species